ACUGUGGGAAGUCAGGCUGGGCAGCUGGGAAACCAGCCCCACAGAUACUUACGCCCUCACUUCACCCCACCAAACACAAAGGCAUAUACAAGUAUCUUUGGCAACCCUGACUGAACCUUGUGUACACUAGGAAAGGGAAUACACUUGCUGAUUUCAAGUUUAUAAUUUAGUUUAGAGUCCAGUCGGGAAGGCAACACAUAACUAAGACACAAGACAAGAAACAAACGGAGCCAUUUCCAACGUUCAUUCAUCCAAAAAGUAAUUUCCUGAGUACCUCCUACAUUUCAGGCACUGUACUAGAAGCUGGGAAUGUAAAGGUAAGUUGGAUACGGCCUCUGCCUUCUACCUGCAAGUGGAAAAUGACAUCGUAUGAGGUCCACAUAACUGAUGCCAGAACAGAGAUGAGGCAGACAGGUUUAGGCACUCAACUGUGAGACACACUCUGAGGAAGGAAGUGGAUACAGAUUGGUAGAGAGUGUUGGUAGAGGGUACUCUAGAAGGGAAAACGGUACAUAUAAAGGCAGAGGUAGAAAUGACCAAGUUUCAUAUUGAAGGAAACACACGUUUUUUGGGGGAAAGGAAAAAACUGCUGAAGUGACGGGCUUCCCUGGUAGUCCACUGGUUAAGAAUCCAUCUGCCAGCCCAGGGGACACAGGUUUGAUCCCUGGUCCAGGAAGACCCCACAUUCUGUGGCACAACUAAGCCCGUGCGCUGCAGCUGCUGAGCCCAAGCACUGGGACUGCUCAAGCCCACACGCCUGGAGCCUGCGCUCUGCGACGACAGGAGCCACCGCAACGAGGAGUAGCCCUGCUUGCCACCACUAGAGACACGCCGGCGCCCGGGAAUGAAGACCCAACAGAGCCACAGGUAAAUAAAAGAUGAGCUAUGCACUUAAAAAAACGAACAACAAAAAAAACCCACCCAAGCUAGUGAAGUGAACAAACUUCAAGGAAAUUGUACUGAAGGGAAAAAGCCAAUAUUGAAAGGACACACCGCGCACGAUUUCAUUUACGUAAUAUUCAUGAAUAAUGUUGACUGUGGAGAUGGAGAACAGAUGAGCGGUUGCCAGGGAUGGGGCCGAGGGGUCAGGUGUGGCCAUACGGGGUGACAGAGGAGUCCUGGGACGGGAUGGCUCUCGGCAUUGAUUGUGGUGGUGGAUACACAAGACUACACGUGGUAAAGUUGCACAGACACACACACACACACACACACACACACACACACAGAAUCUCUAACUGGUAAAAUCUGAGUAAGUUCUAUGAAUUGGACCAAUAUCAUUUUCUUUGUUUUCCUAUUGUUCUAUUCAAAGACAUUUAACAUCAGGAGAAGAGCUCAUAGGACUUCCCUGAACCGUUCUUUGCACCCUCCUGUCAAUCAACAAUUAUUUCAAAAUAAAAAGUUAAAAAACCGAACUAGUGAAGUAGGAGACUCACUUGAGGAAUAUUAAGAAAUUAGGCUGUGAUGAGAAAUGACUCUUUCCAAGACAACUUCUCUUCCAUUAAUUCAGGCCAACAGGCAAAGCAGAGAGCAAUACCCAAUUCCCAAUACCCAAUACCCAAGAUGAAGAAGCUCAGAGAGGAAGUAAGAGAUGACGGGCACAGGACCUCGGAUGGGAAAGGCUUUAACAUUUUUAUUUUAAACAAGCAACUGAGAACUAUUAGAGAUUACUGUGCAAGGACGGAAUUUUUUUUAAAAAGUGUUAAAGGGAGGUUACUCCUGACAGCUGUGGGUAGGCUGAACUGGAGUAGAAAGAAGAAACAGGUGACAGGAAGGCCAGCUAAAAUAGCUGAUUCUAGUCUAUGGGUGAGGCGGUGUGGGCGUGGAUAACUGGUCAAAGAAGAAAGAGAGGGGAGUUCCCUGAUGGUCCAGUGGUUAGGAAUCUGAGUUUUCACUGCUGAGGGCGGGGGUUCAAUCCCUGGUCAGGGAACUAAGGUCACAAAAGCCGUGCAGCACAGCCAAGGUAAAAAAGAAGAAGAGGAGAGGGGGAAGAAAAGGCCCAGAGCUUCCUGUGGCCCCACUGUCUGCCCUUCCUGUUCAUCCUGGCCUUCCACUCAGUCCCCUUCUCACUGGGCUCACGUCAGGGAGGAGGGCCAUCACCCAUUACCAGACGACACCAGCGUUCACGGGUCUACCUGCUCGAUGUCGUCUCUUCACAUGCCUCUCCUUCCUUGGCUCCACAGACCUUUCUCCACCCCACGUCAGCACAGACUUCCAUGGCCAGACCCCGGGCCUCGUCCUUAUCUGGCACUGCUUCACUUUUGAAUGGUUCACCUGCCAGCCCUCGGACACUGACUUGGCCAGGUCUUGGUGGGAAAGACUAUCACUUGGCCAUAGAGGAAGACGUUUGCUGACCGUCCGGGACUGAGCUGCUCAGCUCUACAUGAACUGGACUGACUUCCUGCAGCCUCCAAGAAUGCCCAUGAGCCUGGACCUUCAGUUCUGUCUGGAGUCACAACAACAGAGGGGAAGACAUCUUUGCUGACCCUGGAGAUCAACAGACUGUUGGCUGCCCUCCAAACCCGUGAAGGGCUCCGUUAGCAAAACUUGCUGAGUCCACCUCCCUUCUCUCCGUCUUUCUCUCCCCUACUCCAACUCCUGCUCUCCUCCUCCCAGGACAAUCUGUCCUUCUUUCUCCUGUUUCUUCGUAACAAACAAGCAGUUUCCAGAUGCCUCUGUACCGAGGGAGUUUGUCAGACAUGCUGGGGAACGUCCCUGGUUAGUGGGAGGCAGAGGAUGAUGAAGUUGAAAAGGACCCUAACCUGCUUCUAAGCUGACCGCCUCACUUGAUGGAUUGACUGUGGGUUACUGUUACUUAAAUGAGAGACAGCAGCUCUGGAUAGGAGGUAAUAAAAGUUAAAAGAUAUAUUGUCUCCAAGACAUGUGAGUGCAAAGCCCUGAGGUUCCUACUUGAACUGCAUUCCUGGGAAUGUUCCUACACUCUUCUGCCUUGGCUGAUGCUUUAUGCCCUUUCCAAGAUAGCAUUCCUUUUACGGAAAAUGCAAUGAACCGGGCCCAUGGAUUUCCUUCCACGUAGAGGGGAAACUGGGCAAGUGCUGGACAUGGUUAGGGAGAGAGACAACGGAACUCUUCCCACCCAGGGGAGCAGCCCCAACCCUCCCUUCUACGCUCCCAUCUUUGGCCAUCCCUCCUCAUGGCCACUGUGCUGGUCUGAUCACUUCCUAGGAGGAUGGGAACAGCAAGGACAAAGCUCCACCUGGGUACAAAGCAUGGCAUGCUUCCAACUUUACAAAACAGUGGAGAACUCUGCUUGUCAAAAUUCCUUGAGGAAAAAAAAAAUCCCCAAAGAACUGGAGGUCCCAGCUGAUUCUGUAAUUAGACAAGCCUUCGAAUCAAAGGGAGACAUUCCCAGCUCCUUCACUUCAUCCAAAGCCCACUGGGCUACAGAGGAUCAUCGGGCAAGUUCCUAGCAUGGAAGUCAGAGGAACAUCUUUCGACUCGUGCCUGUCCUCCCAGGUCCUGGCCCAGCCCUUCUGCCAGCCUUCCUAAUGGCUUGCUCAGCAGCUCCCUCCCACCACCUGCAACUCAGGAGAAAGGUCUCUCAAGCAGCCAGGGGGCCAGCCAACUCAGAAGCAGCAACAUGUCCUAAAAUGGUCAGAGAGAACGCCGCAGAUCUGGCUGGAGCUCAGCUCCUAAAGGAAGGGGCAGGACCGGCAGGAGGACGAGUCUAACUUCUCCAUCACCCCGCCCUGAGCCUCUAGCCCGGGAUUAACUCCCUUUCUGCUGACC